UACGAAGGGGGCUAGCGUUGCUCGGAAUCACUGGGCGUAAAGGGUGCGUAGGCGGCGGGGCAAGUCAGGUGUGAAAUCUCGGGGCUCAACCCCGAAACUGCACUUGAUACUGCCUUGCUCGAGGACUGGAGAGGAGACUGGAAUUUACGGUGUAGCGGUGAAAUGCGUAGAUAUCGUAAGGAAGACCAGUGGCGAAGGCGGGUCUCUGGACAGUUCCUGACGCUGAGGCACGAAGGCCAGGGGAGCAAACGGG
rnacentral:rRNA from 1 species